rnacentral:rRNA from 1 species
AUUGAACGCUGGCGGCAUGCUUUACACAUGCAAGUCGAGCGGCAGCGCGGGGCAACCUGGCGGCGAGCGGCGAACGGGUGAGGAACACAUCGGAACGUACCCGAGAGUGGGGGAUAACGCCGCGAAAGCGGCGCUAAUACCGCAUAUUCUCUUUGGAGGAAAGUGGGGGACCGCAAGGCCUCACGCUCACGGAGCGGCCGAUGUCCGAUUAGCUAGUUGGUGGGGUAAAGGCUUACCAAGGCGACGAUCGGUAGCUGGUCUGAGAGGAUGAUCAGGCACACUGGGACUGAGACACGGCCCAGACUCCUACGGGAGGCAGCAGUGGGGAAUUUUGGACAAUGGGGGCAACCCUGAUCCAGCCAUGCCGCGUGCGGGAAGAAGGCCUUCGGGUUGUAAACCGCUUUUAGCCGGGAAGAAAAGGCGAUUCCUAAUAGGGGUCGUUCUUGACGGUACCGGCGGAAUAAGCACCGGCUAACUACGUGCCAGCAGCCGCCGUAA